AUGAACGCUGGCGGCGUGCUUAACACAUGCAAGUCGUACGAGAAAUCUCGGGCUUGCUCGAGAGAGUAAAGUGGCGCACGGGUGAGUAACACGUAGGUAAUCUACCUCCGGGUCAGGGAUAACCCGCCGAAAGGCGGGCUAAUACCUGGUAAUAUCCUGCCUGCGAGAGCAGGCGGGAUCAAAGGUGGCCUCUGCAUGCAAGCUACUGUUUGGAGAUGAGCCUGCGGACCAUUAGCUUGGUAGGGUAAUGGCCUACCAAGGCGACGAUGGUUAGCUGGUCUGAGAGGACGGCCAGCCACACUGGAACUGGAACACGGUCCAGA
rnacentral:rRNA from 1 species